AGUUGUUUGAUCCUGGCUCAGAACGAACGCUGGCGGCAUGCCUAACACAUGCAAGUCGAACGAAGCCUUCGGGUUUAGUGGCGCACGGGUGCGUAACGCGUGGGAAUCUGCCCUUGGGUUCGGAAUAACAGAUGGAAACGACUGCUAAUACCGGAUGAUGACGAAAGACCAAAGAUUUAUCGCCGAGGGAUGAGCCCGCGUAGGAUUAGGUAGUUGGUGAGGUAAAGGCUCACCAAGCCGACGAUCCUUAGCUGGUCUGAGAGGAUGAUCAGCCACACUGGGACUGAGACACGGCCCAGACUCCUACGGGAGGCAGCAGUGGGGAAUAUUGGACAAUGGGCGAAAGCCUGAUCCAGCAAUGCCGCGUGAGUGAUGAAGGCCUUAGGGUUGUAAAGCUCUUUUACCCGGGAUGGAUAAUGACAGUACCGGGAGAAUAAGCCCCGGCUAACUCCGUGCCAGCAGCCGCGGUAAU
rnacentral:rRNA from 1 species